rnacentral:rRNA from 1 species
GACGAACGCUGGCGGCGUGGAUUAGGCAUGCAAGUCGAACGGUAUCAUCCUUUCGGGGGUGAGAGAGUGGCGAACUGGUGAGUAACACGUAGGUUAUCUACCCUCAAGACGGGGACAACCCAGGGAAACUUGGGCUAAUACCGGAUGUGAGCAACUUUUAGUUGUUUGAAAGGUGGCGUAAGCUGUCGCUUGGGGAUGAGCCUGCGUCCUAUUAGUUAGUUGGUGAGGUAACGGCUCACCUAGGCAAUGAUAGGUAGGCGGCCUUAACGGGUGGUCGCCCACACUGGGAUUGAGAUACGGCCCAGACUCCUACGGGAGGCAGCAGUCGAGAAUAGUCUACAAUGGUCGGAAGACUGAUAGUGCGACGCCGCGUGAACGAUGAAUCCCUUCGGGGUGUAAAGUUCUUUUAUAUGUGAGCAGUGCUUCUUAUAUUAACAGUAGUGGGGAGAGAGAUAUUAGCAUAUAGAAUAAGACAACGGACUAACUCCGUGCCAGCAGCCGACGGUAAACUCG